rnacentral:rRNA from 1 species
GAUGGACGCUAGCGGCAGGCUUAAUACAUGCAAGUCGUGGGGCAGCAUGAAUGUAGCAAUACAUUUGAUGGCGACCGGCAAACGGGUGCGGAACACGUACACAACCUUCCUAUAAGUGGGGAAUAGCCCAGAGAAAUUUGGAUUAAUACCCCGUAACAUAAUGAUGUGGCAUCACAUUAUUAUUAUAGCUUCGGCGCUUAUUGAUGGGUGUGCGGCUGAUUAGAUAGUUGGCGGGGUAACGGCCCACCAAGUCUACGAUCAGUAGCUGAUGUGAGAGCAUGAUCAGCCACACGGGCACUGAGACACGGGCCCGACUCCUACGGGAGGCAGCAGUAAGGAAUAUUGGUCAAUGGACGCAAGUCUGAACCAGCCAUGCCGCGUGAAGGAUUAAGGUCCUCUGGAUUGUAAACUUCUUUUAUCUGGGACGAAAAAAGGCGAUUCUUCGUCACUUGACGGUACCAGAUGAAUAAGCACCGGCUAACUCCGUGCCAGCAGCCGCCGCGGUAA